rnacentral:misc_RNA from 1 species
AAGUCGUAACAAGGUUUCCGUAGGUGAACCUGCGGAAGGAUCAUUAUUAAAACGCUCGUUUACGGGAUCGAACACAAAAAACCCCAGUCGGCAAGGAUAAAAAGCCUUGGUUAGACGUCUGAAGUCUUCGGGGAGCGACCUGGUGCACGUUGACCGAUAUUUGAACUGGUAGGCUGAGACUCGCUCCGGGGCUCGGGAUCCUCUAUCUAAGGGUUUGUCGCAACGGAGCGCAGCAGCGACCUGGUGCUAGUCAAAUAUAUGGAUGUGUAGGCUGAGGCUCGUGACGAUAACGACUCUUUCCAUUGCCCUAGCUGGCGCAAAACAUACUUCAAACUUUUAUCGUCUGAAUCUUUUUGUUGUUCAUUUUGAACUCCAAUAUGAAUUAUUAAACAACUUUUAACAACGGAUCUCUUGGCUCUC